CGCCGUCAAAGAAAGAGAUAGAAAGUGCGAUCGAGCUAGCACCAAGAUGGAGCUAUUCUCGAAGGUUUCUUACCAGUUGUUGUUGUCUGAACUGGUAGAAUUGAAAAUGCCGAUGUGAAGAUUGAUGAAUGAGGUAUUCGUGCAUAUCAGUGUAUUACUUUGGGGAAACAUUAGUUUUGUUUGUGAAAAGAAGAAAGAU
rnacentral:lncRNA from 1 species